rnacentral:tRNA from 1 species
GCUGCUGUAGCUCAGAUGGUAGAGCACUUCAUUGGUAAUGAAGAGGUCAGCGGUUCAAUUCCGCCCAGCAGCU